rnacentral:tRNA from 1 species
GGCUAUCAUGGUGAAAUGGAUUGUGCGCAGCGUUAUCGGCGUUGUGGCCUUGGUGCUGGUUCUUGUUCUGGCCGUAACCG